GGAAGUGCUAGCCACAGCGACUUCAGAGUCUUGCUCUGUCACCUACACUGGAAUUCAGUGGCACAGUCUCAGCUCAGCUCACUGCAACCUCCACCUCCCGGGUUCAAGUGAUUCUCAUACCUCAGCCUCCUGAGUAGCUGGGAUUACAGGAAAAAAAGUCCUUGGGAAUUGAGAAGCCAAUGAGAUUAGUCGUUCAAGCUGAAGUCAUUCUAUCUGCUAGCUGUCUGGAGCCACUGAAGCUGUGGGCGAACAGCAACAAGUUUAAGCUACAUCUGCACACUCUGCGGUCCAUCCAGAGACCAAGAAAGAAG
rnacentral:lncRNA from 1 species